AAUUUACCCCAAAAUUAAGAAACUCGAAUAGAUCUGCAAAGUCGUCUUCUUUAAAAUGGAAAAAUACAACCCCCAGACAAAUAUAGGACUUCGGCAUGAAAAUUGAAAAGUCACCCUAGGCCUAACUCUUCGACAUUUACAAUUGUAUAUUUAUAGUAAAAUACAAUUGCAUUUAUCAUUGUUUACUUCACCCUGCUGACUUGUUAUAUCGUCUGCAACCCCAAAUCAAAGCUUCAGUGAUUGUUUGCAUCUAUUGGGAAUGGCGGAUGAAAGAAUUCAUCCGUCGAGUUAUGUGAAAUUGACAAAAGAACAAACGCCUCUCGAGGAGAUUCAACCCGGCGAGCUCAAUCAACCUAUUGAUGUCCCUCAAGUUAAAUGGAUUGUUGUGCGCUUGGACCAUGUUAUCGUCUUGUGUUCAAAUACUGGUCUUUCUAGUGUCUGAUGCUCAUCAUUGUCAACAAAUAGACUUGGGAAUGGAAUGGAAUGAAGCUCCAUGAUGUGGGAAUGAACAGACUUUAUAGCAGAAUACUUUGGUGAAAGCACUCAGAAGAAAGGAGUUUUUUCAAUCUUGCUCUGUUGCUAAAUGCUAAUUCUUUGAAUUGUCAACAACAUAGCAUCCCACAACGCUUAGAUUUUGUACUUGAUAGUUUAAUCUGUCUUAUUGCACAAACCAGUGGAACUGUGAAGGAAAGACCAAAUCUUGUAUCUACAACAAACAAGUAACAAGCCCUGAGUAUACUUUGUCUCUCUGUCUGCACACAUGUAGUGGCCGUGGAGGGAAAUUAUUGGCCU